GGUGUUUCGAGUCUGCAGUAGUAUGAAUACGCUUGGCAAGAGCAUUCUUCCACAAACUUUUUUGGUAGAAGCAUGGGAAACCACAUUCAAAUCAAAGGAUUGCUUGGGGAGUUGGAAUCAGAAAAAGAGAAUGAAUGAUUCAUACUUGUAAGUUAUUAGAUAUUAAAAUAAUUCUGGGCUGAUGGAGAAACAGCUUCUGCACUGAGCCUCUUCUAUGUUCCUACUCACUGCUCUUUUCACACCAAGGACCCCACAGAUGUCCCAGCCAUUAGAAGAUAAAUGUGUAAAUGUUGGGUAUGGUCGGACCCUAGGGCCCUGUUCCAGCUGUAGCUAAAGACCUUCCUGUUUGGUGGGCACCUCUGCCAAGUGGGUAGUUAGCCAUGUGGACUCUCAUCCCAGUCCUGACAGCUUCUCGCUCCUCC
rnacentral:lncRNA from 1 species